rnacentral:rRNA from 1 species
GGUUUCUUGUUAAUGAUAAGAGAUUUGGCCUGCCCACUGAAUAAUUUUUUGAAGGGCCGCAGUAUUUUGACUGUGCAAAGGUAGCAUAAUCAUUAGUCUUUUAAUUAAGGGCUGGUAUGAAUGGUUGGACGAGGUAAGUACUAUUUUAUGUUAAUUGUUAUUGAAUUUAGUAUUUAAGUAAAAAUACUUAAAUUGAAUUAAGGGACGAGAAGACCCUAUAGAGUUUAAUAUAUAUAGUUUUGAUUGAGUUAAGAAGUAAUUUUUGGUUAGUUAUGAAAUAUAUUUGAUUGGGGUGAUAAGAAGAUAAAUUUAACUCUUUUUUGUAAUAUAUAAUUUAUUUAGUUUAAUGAUCCAUUAUUUGGUGAUUAUAAGAUUAAAUUACCUUAGGGAUAACAGCAUAAUUCUUUUUGAGAGUUCAUAUUGAAAAAGGAGAUUGUGACCUCGAUGUUGGAUUAAGAUAAAGUUUAGGUGCAGGAGCUUAAUUAUUAGGUCUGUUCGACCUUUAAAUUCUUACA